UACGUAGGGGGCAAGCGUUGUCCGGAUUUAUUGGGCGUAAAGAGCGUGUAGGCGGCUAUGCAGGUCCGCUGUGAAAACUCGAGGCUCAACCUCGAGACGUCGGUGGAAACCGCAUGGCUAGAGUCCGGAAGAGGAGAGUGGAAUUCCCGGUGUAGCGGUGAAAUGCGCAGAUAUCAAGAGGAACACCUGAGGUGAAGACGGGUUGCUGGGCUGACACUGACGCUGAGGCGCGAAAGCCAGGGGAGCAAACGGG
rnacentral:rRNA from 1 species